AUUGAACGCUGGCGGCAUGCCUUACACAUGCAAGUCGAACGGCAGCACGGGAGCAAUCCUGGUGGCGAGUGGCGAACGGGUGAGUAAAGUAUCGGAACGUGCCCAGUCGUGGGGGAUAACGUAGCGAAAGUUACGCUAAUACCGCAUACGAUCUAUGGAUGAAAGCGGGGGAUCGCAAGACCUCGCGCGAUUGGAGCGGCCGAUAUCAGAUUAGGUAGUUGGUGGGGUAAAGGCUCACCAAGCCGACGAUCUGUAGCUGGUCUGAGAGGACGCCCAGCCACACUGGGACUGAGACACGGCCCAGACUCCUACGGGAGGAAGCAGUGGGGAAUUUUGGGCAAUGGGCGCAAGCCUGAUCCAGCCAUGCCGCGUGCAGGAUGAAGGCCUUCGGGUUGUAAACUGCUUUUGUACGGAACGAAAAGGUUUGACUUAAUACGUUGGACUCAUGACGGUACCGUAAGAAUAAGCACCGGCUAACUACGUGCCAGCCGCCGCCGUAA
rnacentral:rRNA from 1 species